rfam:Schizopora paradoxa strain KTC8140 unplaced genomic scaffold SCHPAscaffold_00011, whole genome shotgun sequence.
GCCCGCGUAGCGCAAUGGUAGCGCGUAGCUUUCCUACGAACGCGGUGUUUCUCUAGGCUAAGGUUGCGGGUUCGAUCCCCGCCGUGGGUU